AGAAUCAACGCUGGCGGCGUGCCUAACACAUGCAAGUCGAACGAGAAAGUGGAGCAAUCCAUGAGUAAAGUGGCGACCGGGUGAGUAACACGUGACUAACCUACCUUCGAGUGGGGGAUAACCUCGGGAAACCGGGGCUAAUACCGCAUAACAUCUUUGAAGUGGAAAUUUCGGAGAUCAAAGGAGCAAUUCGCUGAAAGAGGGGGUCGCGGCUGAUUAGCUAGUUGGCGGGGUAACGCCCACCAAGGCUUAGAUCGGUA
rnacentral:rRNA from 1 species